AUUGAACGCUGGCGGCAUGCCUUACACAUGCAAGUCGAACGGUAACAGGUCUUCGGAUGCUGACGAGUGGCGAACGGGUGAGUAAUAUAUCGGAACGUGCCCAGUCGUGGGGGAUAACGCAGCGAAAGCUGUGCUAAUACCGCAUACGAUCUAUGGAUGAAAGCGGGGGAUCGCAAAACCUCGCGCGAUUGGAGCGGCCGAUAUCAGAUUAGGUAGUUGGUGGGGUAAAGGCCCACCAAGCCAACGAUCUGUAGCUGGUCUGAGAGGACGACCAGCCACACUGGAACUGAGACACGGUCCAGACUCCUACGGGAGGCAGCAGUGGGGAAUUUUGGACAAUGGGCGCAAGCCUGAUCCAGCAAUGCCGCGUGCAGGAUGAAGGCCUUCGGGUUCGUAACGUAGUCUUUGUUACGGUAACGAAAACGGAACGUCUGGUUAAGUUAACCUACGGGUCGGUCACUGUACGGUAACCGGUAACGAAUAAGACGACCGACCGUAACUAACGUCGCACGCACG
rnacentral:rRNA from 1 species